GGGGGCGAAUUGGAUUCGACCGGGUAGGUUGAAGUGUCAGUGGCGUGUCGUGGUUGGUCAGCAGGCCACGUUAAAAGCCGACCAAAAAAUUUAUUUGCCGAAGGUAACUUCGCAAUGGCCGCCUAGCAUGGCGACCCCGGUUGAUGGCCUUCGCCGGAGAGGCUUGAAAACCGGACAGCAAUUCCGGAUCGCCUUGGGUCGUGUCGAGCACGCCCGAGGUUAAAAACUGCUCUCGGCUAGUUCAAGAAGCACCCUGUCGAUUGGGGGCCGAUUGAGCGAAACACCAAAUAAUCGACUACACACGUAGAAGCUGCCAUGGAAAUACCGCGGGACGCGGGUUCGAUCCCCGCCGCCUCCACUU
rnacentral:tmRNA from 1 species